rnacentral:piRNA from 1 species
UGAUUGAUAUUUUGCACGCCUUUAUAAGC